rnacentral:rRNA from 1 species
GACGAACGCUGGCGGCGUGCUUAACACAUGCAAGUCGAACGGAAAGGCCCUGCUUUUGUGGGGUGCUCGAGUGGCGAACGGGUGAGUAACACGUGAGUAACCUGCCCUUGACUUUGGGAUAACUUCAGGAAACUGGGGCUAAUACCGGAUAGGAGCUCCUGCUGCAUGGUGGGGGUUGGAAAGUUUCGGCGGUUGGGGAUGGACUCGCGGCUUAUCAGCGUGUUGGUGGGGUAGUGGCUUACCAAGGCUUUGACGGGUAGCCGGCCUGAGAGGGUGACCGGCCACAUUGGGACUGAGAUACGGCCCAGACUCCUACGGGAGGCAGCAGUGGGGAAUAUUGCACAAUGGGCGGAAGCCUGAUGCAGCAACGCCGCGUGCGGGAUGACGGCCUUCGGGUUGUAAACCGCUUUCGCCUGUGACGAAGCGUGAGUGACGGUAAUGGGGAAAGAAGCACCGGCUAACUACGUG